rnacentral:rRNA from 1 species
GAUGAACGCUAGCUACAGGCUUAACACAUGCAAGUCGAGGGGAAACGACAUCGAAAGCUUGCUUUUGAUGGGCGUCGACCGGCGCACGGGUGAGUAACGCGUAUCCAACCUGCCCAUCACUUGGGAAUAACCUUGCGAAAGUAAGACUAAUACCCAAUGAUAUCCCACGAAGGCAUCGGAAUGGGAUUAAAGAUUUAUCGGUGAUGGAUGGGGAUGCGUCUGAUUAGCUUGUUGGCGGGGUAACGGCCCACCAAGGCAACGAUCAGUAGGGGUUCUGAGAGGAAGGUCCCCCACAUUGGAACUGAGACACGGUCCAAACUCCUACGGGAGGCAGCAGUGAGGAAUAUUGAUCAAUGGGCGAGAGCCUGAACCAGCCAAGUAGCGUGCAGGAAGACGGCCCUAUGGGUUGUAAACUGCUUUUAUAAGGGAAUAAAGUGGGUCACGUGUGACUUUUUGCAUGUACCUUAUGAAUAAGGACCGGCUAAUUCCGUG